rnacentral:tRNA from 1 species
GGUGAUGUAGCAUAACGGCCAUGCGGCCGGCUGUUAACCGGCGAGGAAACUCUACGUUGGUUCGACUCCAACCAUCACCGCCA